CGCGAGCUGGGUUUAGAACGUCGUGAGACAGUUCGGUCCCUAUCUGCCGUGGGCGCAGGAGAUUUGCGAAGAGUUGCCCCUAGUACGAGAGGACCGGGGUGAACGAACCGCUGGUGUUCGGGUUGUCUCGCCAGAGGCAUUGCCCGGUAGCUAUGUUCGGACGGGAUAACCGCUGAAGGCAUCUAAGCGGGAAGCCUCCUUCAAGACUAGAUCUCCCUGAGAGCCCAAGCUUCGGCUUAGUCUCUCCUGAAGUGCCGUUGAAGACGACGACGUUGAUAGGCCGGGUGUGUAAGCGCUGUGAGGCGUUGAGCUAACCGGUACUAAUUGCACGUGAGGCUUGAUCGCAUAACC
rnacentral:rRNA from 1 species